GGGUUGUGAGGUUAAGCGACUAAGCGUACACGGUGGAUGCCCUGGCAGUCAGAGGCGAUGAAGGGCGUGCUAAUCUGCGAUAAGCGCCGGUAAGGUGAUAUGAACCGUUAUAACCGGCGAUACCCGAAUGGGGAAACCCAGUGUGACUCGUCACACUAUCAUUAACUGAAUCCAUAGGUUAAUGAGGCGAACCGGGGGAACUGAAACAUCUAAGUACCCCGAGGAAAAGAAAUCAACCGAGAUUCCCCCAGUAGCGGCGAGCGAACGGGGAGGAGCCCAGAGCCUGAAUCAGCAUGUGUGUUAGUGGAAGCGUCUGGAAAGGCGCGCGAUACAGGGUGACAGCCCCGUACACAAAAGCGCAUGUGCUGUGAGCUCGAUGAGUAGGGCGGGACACGUGGUAUCCUGUCUGAAUAUGGGGGGACCAUCCUCCAAGGCUAAAUACUCCUGACUGACCGAUAGUGAACCAGUACCGUGAGGGAAAGGCGAAAAGAACCCCGGCGAGGGGAGUGAAAAAGAACCUGAAACCGUGUACGUACAAGCAGUGGGAGCACAGGUUUACCUGUGUGACUGCGUACCUUUUGUAUAAUGGGUCAGCGACUUAUAUUCUGUAGCAAGGUUAACCGAAUAGGGGAGCCGGAGGGAAACCGAGUCUUAAUUGGGCGUUAAGUUGCAGGGUAUAGACCCGAAACCCGGUGAUCUAGCCAUGGGCAGGUUGAAGGUUGGGUAACACUAACUGGAGGACCGAACCGACUAAUGUUGAAAAAUUAGCGGAUGACCUGUGGCUGGGGGUGAAAGGCCAAUCAAACCGGGAGAUAGCUGGUUCUCCCCGAAAGCUAUUUAGGUAGCGCCUCGUGAAUUCAUCUCCGGGGGUAGAGCACUGUUUCGGCUAGGGGGCCAUCCCGGCUUACCAACCCGAUGCAAACUGCGAAUACCGGAGAAUGUUAUCACGGGAGACACACGGCGGGUGCUAACGUCCGUCGUGAAGAGGGAAACAACCCAGACCGCCAGCUAAGGUCCCAAAGUCAUGGUUAAGUGGGAAACGAUGUGGGAAGGCCCAGACAGCCAGGAUGUUGGCUUAGAAGCAGCCAUCAUUUAAAGAAAGCGUAAUAGCUCACUGGUCGAGUCGGCCUGCGCGGAAGAUGUAACGGGGCUAAACCAUGCACCGAAGCUGCGGCAGCGAACGUAUCACUUAAAGCGAUUCAGCGGGUUACGAUUGACGGAGCGAAGCGACGUCAAAGCGUAUACAAAGUCGAGUCGGUUUAAGGAUACGUUCGUUGGGUAGGGGAGCGUUCUGUAAGCCUGUGAAGGUGGCCUGUGAGGGUUGCUGGAGGUAUCAGAAGUGCGAAUGCUGACAUAAGUAACGAUAAAGCGGGUGAAAAGCCCGCUCGCCGGAAGACCAAGGGUUCCUGUCCAACGUUAAUCGGGGCAGGGUGAGUCGACCCCUAAGGCGAGGCCGAAAGGCGUAGUCGAUGGGAAACGGGUUAAUAUUCCCGUACUUGGUGUUACUGCGAAGGGGGACGGAGAAGGCUAUGUUGGCCGGGCGACGGUUGUCCCGGUUUAAGCGUGUAGGUGUGUGUUCCAGGUAAAUCCGGUUCACUUUAACACUGAGGCGUGACGACGAGGCACUACGGUGCUGAAGCAACAAAUGCCCUGCUUCCAGGAAAAGCCUCUAAGCAUCAGGUAACAUCAAAUCGUACCCCAAACCGACACAGGUGGUCAGGUAGAGAAUACCAAGGCGCUUGAGAGAACUCGGGUGAAGGAACUAGGCAAAAUGGUGCCGUAACUUCGGGAGAAGGCACGCUGACACGUAGGUGAAGUGAUUUACUCAUGGAGCUGAAGUCAGUCGAAGAUACCAGCUGGCUGCAACUGUUUAUUAAAAACACAGCACUGUGCAAACACGAAAGUGGACGUAUACGGUGUGACGCCUGCCCGGUGCCGGAAGGUUAAUUGAUGGGGUCAGCGCAAGCGAAGCUCCUGAUCGAAGCCCCGGUAAACGGCGGCCGUAACUAUAACGGUCCUAAGGUAGCGAAAUUCCUUGUCGGGUAAGUUCCGACCUGCACGAAUGGCGUAAUGAUGGCCAGGCUGUCUCCACCCGAGACUCAGUGAAAUUGAACUCGCUGUGAAGAUGCAGUGUACCCGCGGCAAGACGGAAAGACCCCGUGAACCUUUACUAUAGCUUGACACUGAACAUUGAGCCUUGAUGUGUAGGAUAGGUGGGAGGCUUUGAAGUGUGGACGCCAGUCUGCAUGGAGCCGACCUUGAAAUACCACCCUUUAAUGUUUGAUGUUCUAACGUGGACCCGUAAUCCGGGUUGCGGACAGUGUCUGGUGGGUAGUUUGACUGGGGCGGUCUCCUCCUAAAGAGUAACGGAGGAGCACGAAGGUUGGCUAAUCCUGGUCGGACAUCAGGAGGUUAGUGCAAUGGCAUAAGCCAGCUUGACUGCGAGCGUGACGGCGCGAGCAGGUGCGAAAGCAGGUCAUAGUGAUCCGGUGGUUCUGAAUGGAAGGGCCAUCGCUCAACGGAUAAAAGGUACUCCGGGGAUAACAGGCUGAUACCGCCCAAGAGUUCAUAUCGACGGCGGUGUUUGGCACCUCGAUGUCGGCUCAUCACAUCCUGGGGCUGAAGUAGGUCCCAAGGGUAUGGCUGUUCGCCAUUUAAAGUGGUACGCGAGCUGGGUUUAGAACGUCGUGAGACAGUUCGGUCCCUAUCUGCCGUGGGCGCUGGAGAACUGAGGGGGGCUGCUCCUAGUACGAGAGGACCGGAGUGGACGCAUCACUGGUGUUCGGGUUGUCAUGCCAAUGGCACUGCCCGGUAGCUAAAUGCGGAAGAGAUAAGUGCUGAAAGCAUCUAAGCACGAAACUUGCCCCGAGAUGAGUUCUCCCUGAGACUUUAAGUCUCCUGAAGGAACGUUGAAGACGACGACGUUGAUAGGCCGGGUGUGUAAGCGCAGCGAUGCGUUGAGCUAACCGGUACUAAUGAACCGUGAGGCUUAACCUUACAACGCCGAAG
rnacentral:rRNA from 1 species